rnacentral:rRNA from 1 species
UGCAAGUCGAGCGGUAACACAAGGGAGCUUGCUCCUGAGGUGACGAGCGGCGGACGGGUGAGUAAUGCCUAGGUAUCUGCCCAGUCGAGGGGGAUAACAGUUGGAAACGACUGCUAAUACCAGCAAUACGCCCUACGGGGGAAAGGAGGGGACCUUCGGGCCUUCCGCGAUUGGAUGAACCUAGGUGGGAUUAGCUAGUUGGUGAGGUGAAUGGCUCACCGACAGGCGACGAUCCCUAGCUGGUCUGAGAUGAUGAUCAACCACACUGGAACUGAGACACGGUCCAGACUCCUACGGGAGGCAGCAGUGGGGAAUAUUGCACAAUGGGCGAAAGCCUGAUGCAGCCAUGCCGCGUGUGUGAAGAAGGCCUUCGGGUUGUAAAGCACUUUCAGCGAGGAGGAAAGGUUAAGUCUUAAUACAGGCUUAGCUGUGACGUUACUCGCUAGCAAGAAGCACCGGCUAACUUCAUGCCAGCAGCCGCGGUAAUACUAGGGGUGCAAGCGUUAAUCGGAAUUACUGGGCGUAAAGCGUACGCAGGCGGUUUGUUAAGCAAGAUGUGAAAGCCCCGGGCUCAACCUGGGAACUGCAUUUUGAACUGGAAAACUAGAAUCUUGUAGAGGGGGGUAGAAUUUCAGGUGUAGCGGUGAAAUGCAUAUAGAUCUGAAUGAAUACCGGUGGCGAAGGCGGCCCCCUGGACAAAGACUGACGCUCACGUACGAAAGCGUGGGGAUCAAACAGGAUUAGAUACCCUGGUACUCCACGUCGUAAACGAUGUCUACUCGGAGUUUGGUGUCUUGAACACUGGGCUCUCAAGCUAACGCAUUAAGUAGACCGCCUGGGGAGUACGGCCGC